UAUAGUAUCUAAAGAUUCCUUAAUUAAAAAUGGCCCACUUUUUGGCAGCUAGGAGAGGGGAUGCGCUCGAACCCCCUGUGGCCUUACUUCUCAAGACACUCCGAGGGACGCAAACUCCAGAAACAUAAAAAAGCAAGAACAAGUGUAACGAGAGGCGAAGAUGCGACUUUAGUGGGUGACUUUCUUUGAAAACUUGCAUGAAUCGGAUCGGCAUCGUAGUACGACCGAGUGUAGUCCGACAGCACUUUCUCAAGGUCGUUCAUAUCAAUGAAAUCCUCCUCCUGAUAAGCUGGAUUCGUUUUCGCUUUUCCAUCUUCCAUUCCGAUAAUUUUGUAUAAUCGCUGCUGUUUUGUAUUGAUAACGCGAGAGCCUUAAACGUGAACGCAUGUGUGUAUAGCUCUCUUCUUCUAUCCAUGCGAUUUGUGUAUGAAUAGCAUUUGCUGUUCAAAACAAGCUCAUUCAGGCGGGAGAUUCUAGAAGUGCAUUCCACGCUUACUGAACCGGCAUGACACGCGACCGGAGACUGAACCCAGUCAGAGUUUACAUCAGUUAGAGCAAAAAAUAACUGAUGGACUCGUCUUCGAUUAAGCAUAACCAGAGUAGCUCAUGUAUAUAUAACUCUUGCAUACUCUUUUUUAUAUAACAAAAAUCAUUAGAACGCCCUGCCUGAUAUUUUAGUAAUAAAAACAUACCGAGGCUCAGAUAGCCGCAAAA